rnacentral:rRNA from 1 species
GACGAACGCUGGCGGCGUGCCUAAUACAUGCAAGUAGAACGCUGAAGAGAGGAGCUUGCUCUUCUUGGAUGAGUUGCGAACGGGUGAGUAACGCGUAGGUAACCUGCCUUGUAGCGGGGGAUAACUAUUGGAAACGAUAGCUAAUACCGCAUAACAAUGGAUGACACAUGUCAUUUAUUUGAAAGGGGCAAUUGCUCCACUACAAGAUGGACCUGCGUUGUAUUAGCUAGUAGGUGAGGUAACGGCUCACCUAGGCGACGAUACAUAGCCGACCUGAGAGGGUGAUCGGCCACACUGGGACUGAGACACGGCCCAGACUCCUACGGGAGGCAGCAGUAGGGAAUCUUCGGCAAUGGGGGCAACCCUGACCGAGCAACGCCGCGUGAGUGAAGAAGGUUUUCGGAUCGUAAAGCUCUGUUGUAAGUCAAGAACGAGUGUGAGAGUGGAAAGUUCACACUGUGACGGUAGCUUACCAGAAAGGGACGGCUAACUACGUGCCAGCAGCCGCGGUAAUACGUAGGUCCCGAGCGUUGUCCGGAUUUAUUGGGCGUAAAGCGAGCGCAGGCGGUUUGAUAAGUCUGAAGUUAAAGGCUGUGGCUCAACCAUAGUUCGCUUUGGAAACUGUCAAACUUGAGUGCAGAAGGGGAGAGUGGAAUUCCAUGUGUAGCGGUGAAAUGCGUAGAUAUAUGGAGGAACACCGGUGGCGAAAGCGGCUCUCUGGCCUGUAACUGACGCUGAGGCUCGAAAGCGUGGGGAGCGAACAGGAUUAGAUACCCUGGUAGUCCACGCCGUAAACGAUGAGUGCUAGGUGUUGGAUCCUUUCCGGGAUUCAGUGCCGCAGCUAACGCAUUAAGCACUCCGCCUGGGGAGUACGACCGCAAGGUUGAAACUCAAAGGAAUUGACGGGGGCCCGCACAAGCGGUGGAGCAUGUGGUUUAAUUCGAAGCAACGCGAAGAACCUUACCAGGUCUUGACAUCCCGAUGCUAUUUCUAGAGAUAGAAAGUUACUUCGGUACAUCGGUGACAGGUGGUGCAUGGUUGUCGUCAGCUCGUGUCGUGAGAUGUUGGGUUAAGUCCCGCAACGAGCGCAACCCCUAUUGUUAGUUGCCAUCAUUCAGUUGGGCACUCUAGCGAGACUGCCGGUAAUAAACCGGAGGAAGGUGGGGAUGACGUCAAAUCAUCAUGCCCCUUAUGACCUGGGCUACACACGUGCUACAAUGGUUGGUACAACGAGUUGCGAGUCGGUGACGGCAAGCUAAUCUCUUAAAGCCAAUCUCAGUUCGGAUUGUAGGCUGCAACUCGCCUACAUGAAGUCGGAAUCGCUAGUAAUCGCGGAUCAGCACGCCGCGGUGAAUACGUUCCCGGGCCU